ACUGCCAGGCACAGGCCCGGCGCGGGUCCCCCUUGAGGCCCGUGUGCACUCGGGGACUGCACGUGAGGCCACCCGAAGGGCACGUCCUGGUGGAAAUUUCGUAUUUACAGCAGUGACCCUCAACCGCUCCGUCAGCCAGACAUCCCUCUGGCAUCUCACCCAUCCUGCUCCGUCCAGGACUGAUGCUGCCCGAGCCCUCAUUUGGGGGCUUACUGGUUCGUGUUACUGGAGCACAUCCCUCCAUCGCUUUUUGAGAACAAGGUUCUGGAGGUUGACCAGAAGCAUACAGCACGACGCCCGGCCCCUUCGGAUGACAGCCGCAGCAGAUCUCAAUCCAGCAGCCGAAGAACAUUUUGGUAAAGGGCGAGAAUAAAUGCUUGAGGCUUUGCAAGCUUACAGUCUCUGCGCUUCUACUGCUCAGCAGCGGAGACAGUGUGUGAAUGGAUAAACUCAACAACAGAAUUGAGGGGACAGGAAAUAACCAGUGACUAGAAGAGAGAACACUGAAAUUAUAUAAUCUGAAGAGCCGAAAGAUUUCUAAAACUACACCUUCAGAAAACUGUGUGAACCCAGAGCGGCA